AACGAACGCUGGCGGCAUGCCUAACACAUGCAAGUCGAACGAGACCUUCGGGUCUAGUUGCGCACGGCUGCGUAACGCGUGGGAACCUGCCUUUAGGUUCGGAAUAACUCAGAGACAUUUGAGCUAAUACCGGAUGAUGUCUUCGGACCAAAGAUUUAUCGCCUUUAGAUGGGCCCGCGUUGGAUUAGCUUGUUGGUGGGGUAAAGGCCUACCAAGGCGACGAUCCAUAGCUGGGCUGAGAGGAUGAUCAGCCACACUGGGACUGAGACACGGCCCAGACUCCUACGGGAGGCAGCAGUGGAGAAUAUUGGACAAUGGACGAAAGCCUGAUCCAGCAAUGCCGCGUGAGUGAUGAAGGCCUUAGGGUUGUAAAGCUCUUUUACCCGAGAUGAUAAUGACAGUAUCGGGAGAAGAAGCGCCGGCUAACUCCGUG
rnacentral:rRNA from 1 species